rnacentral:ncRNA from 2 species
GUGCGCUCCGGGGCUCGGUGCGAUUCCGAACCGGCGGUGAAAGUCCGCGAACCGGCGCCGUUCCAGCGGGAACGGCCCGGCCGAUCCGGUGGAACUCCGGAACCGACGGUGACAGUCCGGAUGGGAGGCAGCGCAC